rnacentral:lncRNA from 1 species
AUUUUCUCUGGUAGGUGAUCAAACUUGGGAGACAGAUCACAACCUAUAUUUCUUAAAACACCUUUUACUACUUAAGUUCGCAUAUAUUUAUAUUAUGAUUAGACUCAAGCUUUCAGUAUUAGCCACAGCUUUAUAAUAAUUAAUAAUUCACACCAGAUAUAUCCACAUACAGUUCAGACACACACACUCUCAUAGGGUCACUCAUAGUUAUGUGCAUGGAAUAACAGAUGGAGGCCAACUGGUAGAGUGGCCUGUAGGUAGGGCAGUCUCCACCUUCCUGGGUACCAGUUGCUUUGAACAAGUUCAGUACAAUUUGGAGUUCUGUCAGUUUUUGCAGGUUCAGUUGGACCAUCAGUCUCGUCUUAUCAAACCUUAGAAGAAUUUAAACACUGUUUCUUAGCAUGUGUGUAUCUUCUCUUCAGCCCUGCUAUUUUCUGUUAAGCACUUCUGCAUGUUGGUUCUCCUAGAUCUGUAUCUCACAAAGGACAGAACUUUCACAAGGGUUUACACAAAAAUGCUAUGACAUGUUGAUACUUGUACACCUGCCAGGUUAUACACAAAGGAUAGAGAUCCAUCUUCAAAUCCAUAUUGUGCAUACUUGAACUAUGUGGCAAUGCUAAGUCACGAGUAGGAUUCUCUCUCUUUACCCUCCAGGUAAAUGUACCUGCAGCUGUUUUUGAAAGGCAAUGUCAGUGAAGUAACACAUGUACAUAGAAAAGCCUGCUCAGGUUCCAGUCUCCGAAUAUUUCAGUGCAUUCAUCUGGGCAUUCUGAAGAUGAGGAAACCUUAAAUAAUUUAUGAUCCUAUCAGGCAAAAAUGGAUUGUUUAAUGGCAGUGGGAGGAAUGGGAAGCAGAAGUGGAUUUUAUCAGCUGGCUGAGAUACUCGAGUGCUCCCCCACCACCAUGGGUUGAUUACCUAUUGGCAUCACACACUAAGGAGACAUUACAAGAACACCAGCAAACAAACAGCAUGCACAGAAGGACUACGUACAUAUAUACGCUUUGUUGGCUAAGGCUGUGAACAUGCCAUUAAAUAGACAUUAGGGAAAAAGAAACAGAUUGUAAGACCACAGCCUUCCUCCAUUUUUAUAUUCGUAAUCUAUCCACAUACACAUAGGAGACAAUAUUUCUUUCUCCAGGUUUGCACUACUAGAAACUGUUGAUCAACUGCAAAGAGGAAAAUAUGGGAAAUGUUCACGGCUUCAGGCCGUUCCUAUGGAU